rnacentral:rRNA from 1 species
AUUGAACGCUGGCGGCAGGCCUAACACAUGCAAGUCGAACGAGUGGCGGACGGGUGAGUAAUGUCUGGGAAACUGCCUGAUGGAGGGGGAUAACUACUGGAAACGGUAGCUAAUACCGCAUACCAUCGGAUGUGCCCAGAUGGGAUUAGCUUGUAGGUGGGGUAAAGGCUCACCUAGGCGACGAUCCGUAGCUGGUCUGAGAGGAUGACCAGCCACACUGGAAAUGAGACACGGUCCAGACUCCUACGGGAGGCAGCAGUGGGGAAUAUUGCACAAUGGGCGCAAGCCUGAUGCAGCCAUGCCGCGUGUAUGAAGAAGGCCUUCGGGUUGUAAAGUACUUUCAGCGGGGAGGCGUUACCCGCAGAAGAAGCACCGGCUAACUCCGUGCCAGCAGCCGCGGUAAUAC